GCGGAUGGAGCUGACGAGAGUCGCAGAUACCAGGUGGCUGCAACUGUUUAUUAAAAACACAGCACUGUGCAAAAUCGCAAGAUGACGUAUACGGUGUGACGCCUGCCCGGUGCCGGAAGGUUAAUUGAUGGGGUUAGCGCAAGCGAAGCUCUUGAUCGAAGCCCCGGUAAACGGCGGCCGUAACUAUAACGGUCCUAAGGUAGCGAAAUUCCUUGUCGGGUAAGUUCCGACCUGCACGAAUGGCGUAAUGAUGGCCACGCUGUCUCCACCCGAGACUCAGUGAAAUUGAAAUCGCUGUGAAGAUGCAGUGUACCCGCGGCUAGACGGAAAGACCCCGUGAACCUUUACUACAGCUUGGCACUGAACAUUGAACCUACAUGUGUAGGAUAGGUGGGAGGCUAUGAAGACGUGACGCCAGUUGCGUUGGAGCCGUCCUUGAAAUACCACCCUUGUAUGUUUGAUGUUCUAACUUAGACCCAUUAUCUGGGUUGAGGACAGUGCCUGGUGGGUAGUUUGACUGGGGCGGUCUCCUCCCAAAGAGUAACGGAGGAGCACGAAGGUGGGCUAAUCACGGUUGGACAUCGUGAGGUUAGUGCAAUGGCAUAAGCCCGCUUAACUGCGAGAAUGACGGUUCGAGCAGGUGCGAAAGCAGGUCAUAGUGAUCCGGUGGUUCUGUAUGGAAGGGCCAUCGCUCAACGGAUAAAAGGUACUCCGGGGAUAACAGGCUGAUACCGCCCAAGAGUUCAUAUCGACGGCGGUGUUUGGCACCUCGAUGUCGGCUCAUCACAUCCUGGGGCUGAAGUCGGUCCCAAGGGUAUGGCUGUUCGCCAUUUAAAGUGGUACGCGAGCUGGGUUUAGAACGUCGUGAGACAGUUCGGUCCCUAUCUGCCGUGGGCGUUGGAAGAUUGAAGGGGGCUGCUCCUAGUACGAGAGGACCGGAGUGGACGAACCUCUGGUGUUCGGGUUGUGUCGCCAGACGCAUUGCCCGGUAGCUAAGUUCGGAAUUGAUAAGCGCUGAAAGCAUCUAAGCGCGAAGCGAGCCCUGAGAUGAGUCUUCCCUGACAGUUUAACUGUCCUAAAGGGUUGUUCGAGACUAGAACGUUGAUAGGCAGGGUGUGUAAGCGUUGUGAGGCGUUGAGCUAACCUGUACUAAUUGCCCGUGAGGCUUAACCAUACAACACCCAAGGGGUUUUGUA
rnacentral:rRNA from 1 species